AUUGAACGCUGGCGGCAGGCCUAACACAUGCAAGUCGAACGGUAACAGGAAGCAGCUUGCUGCUUUGCUGACGAGUGGCGGACGGGUGAGUAAUGUCUGGGAAACUGCCUGAUGGAGGGGGAUAACUACUGGAAACGGUAGCUAAUACCGCAUAACGUCGCAAGACCAAAGAGGGGGACCUUAGGGCCUCUUGCCAUCGGAUGUGCCCAGAUGGGAUUAGCUAGUAGGUGGGGUAACGGCUCACCUAGGCGACGAUCCCUAGCUGGUCUGAGAGGAUGACCAGCCACACUGGAAUUGAGGCACGGUCCAGACUCCUACGGGAGGCAGCAGUGGGGAAUAUUGCACAAUGGGCGCAAGCCUGAUGCAGCCAUGCCGCGUGUAUGAAGAAGGCCUUCGGGUUGUAAAGUACUUUCAGCGGGGAGGAAGGGAGUAAAGUUAAUACCUUUGCUCAUUGACGUUACCCGCAGAAGAAGCACCGGCUAACUCCGUG
rnacentral:rRNA from 1 species